rnacentral:rRNA from 1 species
AGUGAACGCUGGCGGCGUGCCUAAUACAUGCAAGUCGAACGGAGUGGCGCACGGGUGAGUAAAGUAUAGCUAAUCUGCCCUACACUAGAGGACAACAGUUGGAAACGACUGCUAAUACUCCAUAGUGUAGGAUGAGGAUAUAUUGUAUCAGCUAGUUGGUGAGGUAAUGGCUCACCAAGGCUAAGACGCAUAACUGGUCAGAGAGGAUGAUCAGUCACACCGGAACUGAGACACGGUCCGGACUCCUCCGGAAUGGAGCAGUGUGGUAUAUUGCUCAGUGGGGGAAGCCCUGAAGCAGCAACGCCCCGUGGAGUAUGAUACUUUUCGGAGCUUAAACUCCUUUUGGUAGAGAAACGGUACCUAACCAAUAAGCAACGGCUAACUCCGUGCCAGCAGCCGCGGUAAUAC